rnacentral:rRNA from 1 species
AUUGAACGCUGGCGGCAGGCUUAACACAUGCAAGUCGAGCGAGUGGCGGACGGGUGAGUAAUGUCUGGGAAACUGCCUGAUGGAGGGGGAUAACUACUGGAAACGGUAGCUAAUACCGCAUACCAUCAGAUGUGCCCAGAUGGGAUUAGCUAGUGGGUGGGGUAAUGGCUCACCUAGGCGACGAUCCCUAGCUGGUCUGCGAGGAUGACCAGCAACACGGGAACUGGGACACGGACCAGACUCCUACGGGAGGCAGCAGGGGGGAAUAUUGCACAAUGGGCGCAAGCCUGAUGAGGCAAGGCGCGGUGUGGGAAGAAGGCCUUCGGGUUGUAAGGCACUUUAAGCGGGGAGGCGUUACUCGCAGAGGAAGCACCGGCUAACUCCGUGCCAGCAGCCGCGGUAAUAC